rnacentral:lncRNA from 1 species
CAAUCUCACAUAUGCACCCUCAAUUACAAACCAAACAUGUACCACAUCAAUUCUACAUAAUGUUGAAAUCCAAAUAAGGAUUCCUGUUCAAUCUCAUAUGUAUGUUCAAUUAUUCACCAAUAAUUCUCACAUGCCCAGCUUCUGAACAUAAUACUCAACAUUAAAACCAACAGUACCAAAGCACAAUUAAACAUAUCUAAUAUUCUCACCAAUCCACAACUCAAAACAAGCUAGACUGAAUUACUUAUUCAACUUACAAAUGCUUCAAUAAUAACAACAUAACGAACACAUAAACACAUAACAAAACUAAAUAAAUACAGAAUCAAGUAAUAUAAAAUAGACUGCAAUGAAAUAUUGUAUCAUCAACGUUCUCAUUUCCAAUUUAAACAUGACAUUUGAGGUCCAAAGCGUACCUGAAUACAACAAUCAAAACAACAGAAGAAAAUGUGUUUAAGAGUCAUAAAAUGAGAAGUUUAGUGACAGCAGCAGUAUUUCAAUAAUAAUAAUGGAACAGAGCACAACAUCUUUUUUAUGGUGUAAUGCACAACAACUUUAAACCAUCUUUGAAUCCAAAAUGAACUAAAAAUCCUUUGAAGGUUUCACGGUUAAGAGGAUUUAAAGAAGACCCUAAGCUAACUUCAACCAAAAAAAGGCAAUAAAACAUCAGAAUUCUUUCCAGGUCUAAGACUUGGCCAUUUCUCAGUUUAUAGGUUCUUUUAUCUCUGAAUUUUCCCUUGAAAGCGAAGAAAACAAACCUCUUAUAUAGGACUUCUAGGGCAGCAGAAAUGGUUCUGUUAUUUGCCAAUUACCCCUUCUUUAAUUUUCAUUUUUUUCAUUUUAGAUAAUGAAUUUCUAAGCCAAUAACUGAACUAACCUAACCCUUUCUUUCCUUGAAACUUCCCUGGUAGUUUGAACAAGAUUUCCUCGGUCAAAAUUUCUAAACUACCCUUUAACCCUCCAUUAGUUACCCUUCAACCAUUAAUCUGGGUUUGAAUAAACCAAGAUCCAACUGAAUCAAUCUUUUAACUAGGUCUGUGACGACCAUAGUUAAUAUGAGAACUUCACCAAUCAGAAAUGAUUACAAAAAACCAAAGAAACAAAUCAAGGAAAAAUAGAAAACAAAAUAAACAAUUCUGAUUUCAAGCUUGAACUAAUUCUAACUGUCAAUUAAAAUGAACUCGACCACUAGAGAAGACAAACUAAAAAAAAAUAUCAAUACAUAAACGUAGAAAAUAUGACAAUGUAUAAAAUACAUAAAGGAAAAGGGAGGGAAAAAUACCAAACAUGCUGGAAUGUCUUGACAAUAUAAAACAUAAUGACGGGAGUGAACAAUUGAUUGGGCUGUGAUGAAUUCUUCAAACCCUGACAUCAUCGGAAUGAAUUAAAAUCAAUGCUAAGAGCAAUCGACUAGCGUAGAUUAUAGUUCAAAACGAGUCUGGUCUUGCGCGGAAUAAGAAGAAAAAAUGAAGAUUAGGCUUGAAUUUUCAUAGAUUUGGAAUUAGGGAAAUCUUGUGGAGGUUUUCAGAAAAUAGGUGUGAGGAUAAGUUUUGGGACUUCCUGGGGAUUUCCAGGUAUUUAUUUGGGAAGACUAGGGUUUGAAGGCCCAAACUUCAAUCACAAAUUCUAGGUGUUCCGCGAUUAUUCAAAGGAAAUAGCUGACGGAUUCGAUAUAUGGGGAUGAAGGGGGUGCUAUUGUGUAAAUAUGGUGUAGAUUGGAGGUCAUCCACCACUGCUGGUGAUUUUCAGUGGGAGGCGGAUGGUGGUGGGAGGAGGGUGUGAUGGAGAAGACGCAACCAG